rnacentral:rRNA from 1 species
AUUGAACGCUGGCGGCAGGCCUAACACAUGCAAGUCGAGCGGAGCGGCACAGGGGUGUGUAAUGUCAAUGAAUUUGCCUCGUCGUGGGGGAUAACGUUCGGAACGGGUCGCUAUUACCGCAUCCUCUCAGAUUCGCCUCGGUGGGAUUGGCUUGUUGGUGGGGGAAAGGCCUACCCAGGCGACGAUCCGUAACCUGUCUGAGAGGAUGAGCAGUCACACUGGAACUGAGACACGGUCCAGACGCCUACGGGAGGCAGCAGUGGGGAAUAUUGGACAAUGGGCGAAAGCCUGAUCCAGCCAUGCCGCGUGUGUGAAGAAGGUCUUCGGAUUGUAAAGCACUUUAAGUUGGGAGGCGUUACCAGCAGAAUAAGCACCGGCUAACUUCGUGCCAGCAGCCGCGGUAAUUC